rnacentral:miRNA from 1 species
CUGUCAAAGUUUCCGGAUAUGAUGUCAUUAGGUGAGUUGCAAAUUAGUUUUCCUUAUAAUGACAUCAUAUCCGGAAACUUUGACAGUGAA